UGGCGGCAGGCCUAACACAUGCAAGUCGAGCGGUAACAGAAAGAAAGCUUGCUUUCUUUGCUGACGAGCGGCGGACGGGUGAGUAAUGCCUGGGAAUAUGCCUUAGUGUGGGGGAUAACUAUUGGAAACGAUAGCUAAUACCGCAUAACGUCUUCGGACCAAAGAGGGGGACCUUCGGGCCUCUCGCGCUAAGAUUAGCCCAGGUGGGAUUAGCUAGUUGAUGAGGUAAAGGCUCACCAAGGCAACGAUCCCUAGCUGGUCUGAGAGGAUGAUCAGCCACACUGGAACUGAGACACGGUCCAGACUCCUACGGGAGGCAGCAGUGGGGAAUAUUGCACAAUGGGGGAAACCCUGAUGCAGCCAUGCCGCGUGUAUGAAGAAGGCCUUCGGGUUGUAAAGUACUUUCAGUCGUGAGGAAGGCAUUGUAGUUAAUAGCUGCAGUGCUUGACGUUAGCGACAGAAGAAGCACCGGCUAACUCCGUG
rnacentral:rRNA from 1 species